GGUGGCUUAGUGGUUAGAGCGUCCGCCUAGGAUACGGGAGGUCGUGGGUUCGACCCUAGGUUAAGUCA